rnacentral:lncRNA from 1 species
UCAUAUUUUCUCAAGUUUAAUAUCCCAAAAGGGCUCCCCAUUGCCCUCAGGCUGAAUUGUGAAGCCCUCCCCAAAGCCCGCGAGGGUCUGCCACAUCUAGCCUCAGUGACCUCUUCCUCUUGGGCUACAGCUCAUAGAUGUCCUUCCAUUCUCCUAGGGAGCCCUGUGCCCACCCACUUCGGGCUCCCAGGGACUGUGCUGCUCCCCGUCACUCUCCCUGCCCAUCUCUUCCUCCUGUGCUAGGUCUCUAAUCAAGUGGCCACUCUGGGAAACCCUCCUUGACUUUUUUUUUUUUGAGACAGAGACACAACAGAAUGGAAAGCAAAUUGACAGGGAGCAUUCUGUUGUGGAAUGGAUCAGUUGCUCCCUGUGAAUUUGCUUUCAGUCCUAUUUACCGUGGGGUACAAAGCCUCAGUUUG